rnacentral:lncRNA from 1 species
CUUAAUCCCCUCCUGUUCUUUAUGAAAGGUGAUCUUGCAAUCACCCAAUCAAACAUGGAUCAGGGAAUGAAAAAGACCUCUAGAAAAAAAGAGAAGAAAGCCAGCCCUUCUUCCAUUCAGCCACAAUGACAGACAAUAGUGGGGUACUGCUUUCUAACAAGAAUACUCCUAAGAUGCACCAGCUCUAGAGAUACUUGUCAAGGCUGCCAUGUUCACCUCGCAGUUUAGUAAGGGGAAGAAUGGAAAAUAGUUUAGAAUGUCUUAUGCUAUAAAAACAUCUUCGAUUAAUCAUGAUCUGUAACAACAGCACAUAAAGCAAGAAAAAAAGGCUUACAGAAGAGUUUGGAAAAAAGGCCUCAGUUUCAUCUGUUUUCAAUCUCUGUUUAAGGAGAUGCUAAGGAUGUGUUUCAUAAUAAGAAUCCAAGUGACAAGGAGUCAAGUCUGUAACAACUGUGUUUAGCUGUGAGAAAAAAUCCAGAAGAAAUGCCCAUUUCCCAUUCUUCAGGAAAUUGUAUGGGAGUACAGAAAACAGAUAAACAAUAUCAACUUAAGCAACGUAUGUUUGAGUAUAUAAUAAUAUUGGAAAAAUUAAGCUUGAAAUAAAAAGAAACAGAAGCAGAGAAA